rnacentral:rRNA from 1 species
GGGGGAGCAAGCGAUGUUCGGAUUUACUGGGCGUAAAGGGCGCGUAGGCGGCCACCGUCAAGUCGACUGUGAAAUCUCCGGGCUUAACUCGGAAAGGUCAGCCGAUACUGCGGGGCUAGAGUGCAGAAGGGGCAACUGGAAUUCUCGGUGUAGCGGUGAAAUGCGUAGAUAUCGAGAGGAACACCUGCGGCGAAGGCGGGUUGCUGGGCUGACACUGACGCUGAGGCGCGAAAGCUAGGGGAGCGAACGGGAUUAGAUACCCCGGUAGUCCUAGCCUUAAACGAUGAAUGCUUGGUGUCUGGGGUUUCAUAGUCCCCGGGUGCCGUCGCUAACGCUUUAAGCAUUCCGCCUGGGGGAGUACGGUCGCAAGACUG